GACGAACGCUGGCGGCGUGCUUAACACAUGCAAGUGGAGCGACGAACCAGGGCUUGCCCUGGGGCAAAGCCGCGAACGGGUGAGUAACACGUGGGUACCCUGCCCCGAAGACCGGGACAACCCGAGGAAACUCGGGCUAAUACCGGAUGUGGUCACUCUUCAUAAGGAGAGUGAGCAAAGGAAGCCUCGGCCUCCGCUUCGGGAUGGGCCCGCGGCCCAUUAGCUUGUUGGUGAGGUAACGGCUCACCAAGGCUUCGAUGGGUAGCUGGUCUGAGAGGACGAUCAGCCACACUGGGACUGAGACACGGCCCAGACUCCUACGGGAGGCAGCAGUGGGGAAUCUUGCGCAAUGGGCGACAGCCUGACGCAGCAACGCCGCGUGAGGGAAGAAGGCUUUCGGGUCGUAAACCUCUUUCAGGAGGGACGAAGCUUCGGGAGUGAAUAGCUUUCCGGAGUGACGGUACUUCCACAAGAAGCCCCGGCUAACUACGUGCCAGCCGCCGCCGUAA
rnacentral:rRNA from 1 species